AGAGCCCCCUUCAGCUCCUGGGGGGGGCCCCAGCCACAGCCAGAGCCCUCAGAGGCAGGCCCGGCCCACUCCAGGCCUCCACUCCGUCCUCUCCUCGCAGCCCUAUCAUCCACUCAGCCCCCAAAUGCCAUUUAUAUCACUGCCUCCCUGCUAUCUGUCGGAGAGGCCGGUGGGUUUCUCUCAGGCUCCUUCACCUCUCUCCCCAUGUGUCUCCAUCCUCGCCUUGCUCCCUCCCUCUCUCCAUCUAUUCUUGUUGCGUUCAGAUUUUAGCUUCAGACAGAUGCGGUGUCAAGGUCCCAGGCACUCCUGUGCUGUGUGACCUUUGUGGAGCCACAGCCAUUUGUCCAUUGCCUUGGCCGGCCCCCCCUUUUCUCAUCUGUGCGACGGGGUUGACACCUGCGGUGCCGGCCUCUUGCGGUUCACCGUGCCUGCCGAGGAUCCAGCAGGCGCUUACUCUGUGGUGGCCACCAGACGGUGAUGGGGUUUGUGAUAGAAUCAUUGGACUCCCAGUGCCUUGCCGCCCACCUGCCGCCUGCCACCUGCCACCUGCCGGCCGCUCCCAUCACUGCGGGGGAGGCCGGGUAGGCUCCCCACCCCCUGCUAUUCUCAGAGCCUUCCAGGAGGUUCCGAGCAGCUUCUCACCGGAUAUUUGGCUUUUUCUUGGAGCUUGCUCUGCCCCUCCUCUGUGAGGAUGUUCUCAGGUGGCCAGGGGUGGAGAAGGGAAGGAGGGCAGACUCUCCAGGCGCUUGCUGACAAUUAGACAGAGGAGGGGAGUCCGCCGGUCCAGGCAGGACUCGGCCCGGGCGGUGCCUGUGUCCAGCUCCCCGGUGCUGGGCUGGGCUGAAAUGCAGCAGAAGAGGCCUGGGAGUGGGUUGUAGUCCCACCUACCGUAGCCGAGGUCAUGUGACUGUGGGGGUCUCUGAGCCUUUGUGGCCUCAGUCUCCUCUCCUGGAAAAUGGGCCUGAUGGUCCACGGUCUGCCUCCCGAGCAAGGGGAAAGCCUGCGGAGCUGCAGACGGAGAUGCAGACGAGGCGGCACUGCCGGGUGGCGGGGCUGGCUGGCAGGACCCCCAGGCUCUCUCGAGCUCCUUGCUGGGCCCUGAGUUCCUCCUGUUCUCCACCCACCCUGAGGCCCGGGCAGGCCCCAGACGUGAGGAGAGGGGCGGAUCUGGGCAGCCCCUCCACCAGCCUGGCUCAAGGCAGCCCCACAGUGCUCGUCCCCCACCCGUCCCUGUACCAGCCCCUGGCAGCCCUGCCAGGUAGGGGCCGACCACUUUUUUGGUGGUUGUAUUUUAAAAAAAAUUGUUGUAAAAUAUACAUAACAUAAAAUUUACCAUCUUAACCAUUUUUAAGGGUACAGUUCUGUAGCACUAAGCACAUUCACAAUGUCGCACAACUGUCACCACCAUCCAUCUCCAGAACUUUUUCAUCUUCCCAAACAGAAACUCUGUGCCUGCUCCCCAUCCCCCCGCCCCCUCUGGUAACCGCCAUCCUACUUUGUCUCUACGAAUUUGCCUCAUAUAAGUGGAAUUAAACAUCUGUCCUUUUGUGUCUGGCUUAUUUCACUUAGCAUAAUCGGAUGACCUCUUUUAACAGAUGAGUAAACUGAGGCACAGAGAGACUACAGGACUUGCCCAGGCUGCGUGCCCUCUCUCACAUCCUUUCUGCCUCCUCUCUCCUGUUCCCCACUUCCCUGUGAGUGUCCCCAUUCGCCUGUCAUGCCCCCAUUUCACCGAGGAAGAGAGAGAGGAGCCAGGAGCCCGAGGUCCUGAGGGGCUGAAGGACUCUGAGCGUGGUGCUCAUACACUCGGGACCACCCUGCUCUGCCGGGAGUGGGGGGCUGGGCCAGUCCCAGGGCUUGAUGGGGAACAGGCCAGGGACCGCCACGCCCCUUGCAGGCCCAGUGACUCUUUUCCAAGGCUGACCUGGUGACCAGACCCUGCGGGUUGCCUCAGGCUGCGCUGACAUCACCCCUUCCCGGGGCUCUCUGGGUCAGAGAGGGGACAGGCUGGCAGUUAGCAACAUGGCCCGAGGGGUCACCCAGGGCAGAGAAGAGCCUGAUCCGCCUCCGGGUGACCCACACAGCCCCGUCCCCCUCCCUGGCCUCCCAGGCUCCGAGUGUGCGUGCUUGGAGAGGGCCAAGGUGCCUGGGAAGCUUUUAGGAAUGGGGAAAAACAUUUAUUGCCUCCCUGCGUGAGCUCAGGGACAUAAGCAAGUCAGGUGGCAAGAUUUCCUCCGGGCGCCACUCAUUUUCUUCAUCUAACUCUUAAAGCGUUUUGGGAUCCAGAGCAGCCCAUGUGUCCACCUGCAAACCCUGCUAACCACUGAGCUUUCUAUAGAUUCAUUCAUUCAUUCAUUUGUUCAGCAAGGAUUGACUGAGAAUGGCUGUGCGCAGGACAAAGGGGCCCCAGUCGCCUGGAGUCCCUGAGCUUGCCGUCCGACAGCCAAGCCCAACAUGCAUCAAAGACUCAGAUGGUGAGCAACCUCAGGCAGCGCCCAGGGCUCUGAGGGAGGAGUCAGGGCCUCGUGGGGACCACGAAGCAAGCGGAUUAAGACUGGGAGAUGGAGGGCGGCUUCCCUGAGAGGCCGCUGAGCUGAGGGGUACGGACCAGCCAGGCAGAGAACUCCAGGAAGAGCGUCCCCGGCAGAGGAAACAGCACGUGAAAUGGCCCAGAGGCGCGAAAGAACUCAGGCCCAUCACACCGACUUUGCAGGUCUGUGUAAAGGCUGGAGUUAAAGGCAGUGGCUGUUCUUCUCCUGGGCCCUAGUGGCCCUGGCAGCCCUGAGUGUGGCCUGGACCCUGCUUGACCCUCUUCUGCUCAAAGUUUGACCUGCAGAGCCUGCUGUCUCUGCCCCUUCAGUGGUCACCCUGGCCCAGGGGUCCUGGAGACUCAGAGAUGGGCCAGACUCUGGCCUCUACGUCUUCAGCCCGGGGCGGGGCUAUGCUCUACAAAAGGCUGCAGGGUGUCUGCGGAGAGACAAGCCAACAUCUGCAUCGGAAAGCAAAUAGACGCACACGUUUCCCUCCGUUUAACCCAUUAAAGGCCGGCAUUCCAUCACCUGGGUCUUGUGAUUUUUUUCCCACUUAAAUCUGUUUUAUACGGGAGGCCACUACUAAGGCUCAGAGAGGUUAAGACACUCGAU
rnacentral:lncRNA from 1 species